GGGAAAGGCGAAAAGAACCCCGGCGAGGGGAGUGAAAAAGAACCUGAAACCGUGUACGUACAAGCAGUGGGAGCACCCUUUGGGGUGUGACUGCGUACCUUUUGUAUAAUGGGUCAGCGACUUAUAUUCUGUAGCAAGGUUAACCGAAUAGGGGAGCCGGAGGGAAACCGAGUCUUAAUUGGGCGUUAAGUUGCAGGGUAUAGACCCGAAACCCGGUGAUCUAGCCAUGGGCAGGUUGAAGGUUGGGUAACACUAACUGGAGGACCGAACCGACUAAUGUUGAAAAAUUAGCGGAUGACCUGUGGCUGGGGGUGAAAGGCCAAUCAAACCGGGAGAUAGCUGGUUCUCCCCGAAAGCUAUUUAGGUAGCGCCUCGUGAAUUCAUCUCCGGGGGUAGAGCACUGUUUCGGCUAGGGGGCCAUCCCGGCUUACCAACCCGAUGCAAACUGCGAAUACCGGAGAAUGUUAUCACGGGAGACACACGGCGGGUGCUAACGUCCGUCGUGAAGAGGGAAACAACCCAGACCGCCAGCUAAGGUCCCAAAGUCAUGGUUAAGUGGGAAACGAUGUGGGAAGGCCCAGACAGCCAGGAUGUUGGCUUAGAAGCAGCCAUCAUUUAAAGAAAGCGUAAUAGCUCACUGGUCGAGUCGGCCUGCGCGGAAGAUGUAACGGGGCUAAACCAUGCACCGAAGCUGCGGCAGCGACGUUUAUGCGUUGUUGGGUAGGGGAGCGUUCUGUAAGCCUGCGAAGGUGGCCUGUGAGGGUUGCUGGAGGUAUCAGAAGU
rnacentral:rRNA from 1 species